rnacentral:rRNA from 1 species
GACGAACGCUGGCGGCGUGCCUAACACAUGCAAGUCGAACGAAGUGGCGAACGGGUGAGUAACGCGUAAUCCUCCUGCCCUUCAGAGGGGGACAACAGUUGGCACCGACUGCUAAUACCGCAUACUGAAGGUGGGGAUUGCGUCUGAUUAGCUGGUUGGAUGGGUAACGGCCCACCAAGGCGAUGAACAGUAAACUGUCUGGGAGGGAGAACGGCCACAAUGGGAAUGAGACAAGGCCCAGACUCCUACGGGAAGCAACAGUGGGGAAUCUUCCGCAAUGGACGAAAGGCUGACGGAGCAAAGCCGCGUGAGUGAUGGCGGGCUUCGGGUUGGAAAGCUCUGUUAAGCGGGACGCGGUACCGGAAUAGAAAGCCACGGCUAACUACGUGCCAGCAGCCGCGGUAAUAC